UUUACUGUUGCAUCCUUAGGAAGUUGAAAAUUGCAUAAAAUAUAUAGAUAAUUGAGAUGUGAUUUCUCCAGCAAAUCUUACAGCUUUUGUGUGUUUAACUGCAGCACUUUUACUCAGGAGAGGCCAUCUGAGGAUCAGCACCACUGGACAGUGAUUUCUCCUGCUUAAGAGUUUCUUUUGUGACUAUGUCUCAAGCUCAUCUGGGUCUGAUAUCAUGUGUCCAACAGAGCUCUACAUCCCAGGCUGAAAAAUAUCCUUGAAAACCCAUUCAGGAACUGCUGAACCCAAGUGUUUUCUGAAGCCUGUUUCUUUUGCUGAACAGCCAGCAGGUCUGCUCUGUGGAAAAUGUGCUGCUGCAAUUUUCUGGUUGGUGUAGAAAAUUUCACCUCUAUCAAGUAAUCCUCACUGCCUGGUUCACUACCAAAAUUUAAUGGAUCCUACUCAGCAGAGUAGCUGUUGGAUCACCAAUUCUUCUGGAUGUCAGAAGCAUGGCCAAGAGCCUUGGCCAAGGCGUUUCUCUGAGCCCUGGUUCCCACCCUCUCCUCACCCAGAGGAGCGGAAAGGCUGCCAGCUCCGACAGCAGCAGCGCGGCAUCCGUGUGUCUGGGCUCCACGGCAGUGGGCACGGCAGACACCGGGGGCUCUUCCUGCCAAGCAGAGGUGACAGGGAAAUAGGAUCCAGUGCCUACGCUUCCCCAGCCUACGUGGGGAGCUCUGUGCCAUCCCCUCCUGCCGAGCCCGGCUGGAAUGGAAGUCCCGGGAAGUGUACAGGAGUAUACAGGAGUGUACAGGAUUGUGCAAUAGUGUACAGGAGUGUACAGUUGUGUGCAAUAGUGUACAGGUGUGUGCAGGAGUGUGCAAUAGUGUACAGG
rnacentral:lncRNA from 1 species